rnacentral:tRNA from 1 species
AGGAUGAAAUCAAUGAGUUUGAUAUUUUAUUUACGAUAAAAUUUAGCUUAAUGCCAUUCUAU